UCCGGGACAACCGCUGGAAACGGCGGCUAAUACCGGAUACUCCGCGGGCCCCGCAUGGGGCCGGCGGGAAAGCCCCGACGGCAAGGGAUGGGGUCGCGGCCCAUUAGGUAGUAGGCGGGGUAACGGCCCACCUAGCCCGCGAUGGGUAGCCGGCCUGAGAGGGCGAUCGGCCACAUUGGGACUGAGAUACGGCCCAGACUCCUACGGGAGGCAGCAGUGGGGAAUUUUGCGCAAUGGGGGAAACCCUGACGCAGCAACGCCGCGUGCGGGAUGACGGCCCUCGGGUUGUAAACCGCUUUCAGCAGGGAAGAUAUUGACGGUACCUGCAGAAGAAGCUCCGGCUAACUACGUGCCAGCAGCCGCGGUAAUACGUAGGGAGCGAGCGUUAUCCGGAUUCAUUGGGCGUAAAGCGCGCGUAGGCGGCUGCCUAAGCGGAACCUCUAACCCCGGGGCUCAACCUCGGGCCGGGUUCCGAACUGGGCGGCUCGAGUGCGGUAGAGGAGAGCGGAAUUCCCGGUGUAGCGGUGGAAUGCGCAGAUAUCGGGAAGAACACCGAUGGCGAAGGCAGCUCUCUGGGCCGGCACUGACGCUGAGGCGCGAAAGCUGGGGGAGCGAACAGGAUUAGAUACCCUGGUAGUCCCAGCCGUAAAC
rnacentral:rRNA from 1 species